rfam:Triticum urartu cultivar G1812 contig767484, whole genome shotgun sequence.
CUUGUACCCCCUCCGUUCCGAAUUACUUGUCGCAGGGAUGGAUGUAUCUAGAUGUAUUUUAGUUCUAGAUACAUCCAUUUCUGCGACGAGUAAUUUGUAAUGGAGGGAGUACUAA